rnacentral:rRNA from 1 species
UACGGGGGGAGCAAGCGUUGUUCGGAUUUACUGGGCGUAAAGGGCGCGUAGGCGGCCAGCGCAAGUCAGUUGUGAAAUCUCCCGGCUCAACUGGGAGGGUGCGCUACAAACUGUCUGACUAGAGUGUGGGAUGGGUAAGUGGAAUUCCUGGUGUAGCGGUGAAAUGCGUAGAUAUCAGGAGGAACACCGGUGGUGUAGACGGCUUACUGGACCAUAACUGACGCUGAGACACGAAAGCGUGGGUAGCAAACAGG